UACGGGGGGGGGCAAGCGUUGUUCGGAAUUACUGGGCGUAAAGGGUGCGUAGGCGGCUUUCUAAGUUGGAUGUGAAAACUCUGGGCUCAACCCCAGAGCCUGCAUCCAAAACUGGAGAGCUUGGGUUCUGGAGGGGGAAAGCGGAAUUCCUGGUGUAGCGGUGAAAUGCGUAGAUAUCAGGAGGAACACCGGUGGCGAAGGCGGCUUUCUGGACAGAUACCGACGCUGAGGCACGAAAAGCUAGGGGAGCAAACAGG
rnacentral:rRNA from 1 species